CGCGUAGGCGGUCUCUUAAGUCAGAUGUGAAAGCCCGGGGCUUAACCCCGGAAGUGCAUUUGAAACUAAAGGGCUUGAGUAUGGGAGAGGGAAGUGGAAUUCCUGGUGUAGCGGUGAAAUGCGUAGAUAUCAGGAGGAACACCGGUGGCGAAGGCGACUUCCUGGACCAAUACUGACGCUAAGGCGCGAAGGCGUGGGUAGCAAACAGGAUUAGAUACCCUGGUAGUCC
rnacentral:rRNA from 1 species